rnacentral:lncRNA from 1 species
CCCUAGGCUACAGUGUGUGAGCUUUUGUUGUCCUGGACUCUUUCAUGCCCCAGUGACAUUUCCUGAUUAUAUUCACAGGGCACAAGUGAUUUUGAACUCACAGUACAUUUGGGAAGCAAACCUAAUGGGCAUGCAAACAGCCAAUUGCAGUGUCAGGAAAACUAACUCAGUACAUUUCCAAUCUUUAAAACUCAAGUUUUCUCAACUAUGGAUUGGCACAGAAGUAGCAGGAUUUGAGUUUUAUGGGACUUGGAUGAAAAGUUUGUAUUACUGCAAAAUGGAAAGAAAUAUUUUUCUUAGGUUACCUAGAUAUUUUAUUUGAAGCCAGAUUAUUCCCAGUUCUAAAGCUGUGUUAUGGCCAUGAGAAAUGAUGCCCACAGCAUGCAGGGAAAUCAUGGUAGCUGCACUGAGGGGAAGAAAAACAGCCCAGUGAACCCAGCCAUUUCAAAUCCAAAUUGGCUUCAACUAUUAAGAGGCGACAAAUGGAACAACAGAAUCAGAGAAGCAGACUUAGGGUCAUCAAAUGUGGCUCCCCAAGGAUGCAGCCUGAAGAUGACUAAGAGCUUCUGGGAUGUAGAGAGGCUUGUCCUAAAAAUCCAUGACCAAAAUGCUAAUAUUUGUGUGUAAACAGUCCAUUCUAAUUCAGUUCAAGACAUUAUUUUAUGUUGUACCUAAAAGAAGCCAAGAUGUGAAGGAGGAACAGAUUUCAGCACAUAAUGGGAUUGGACAUACCCUUUGUAGCUUGUUUAUUUUAUUUCCAUGGGCUUCCUUCUCCUUGCCAAGUUAUUUUGACUACUGAGAUAUCUUGGGUUGAUACUUAUGAUGAAUUUCUUUAGAACCAGUUUUCAUCUUGAUGAAAUGUAUGCCUGUUUUUGUCUACAUAGACCUACUUUAAAAUCCCAAAACAUCUGUCACUUACUAGGUGUCAUCUUAAUUUAUUACUUAACCCCUCUUUAUUGUUAAAACAGAGACUAACAUACAUACACCAAAGUUUGCUAGCAGGCUUAAUUUGAAGAAUACUUGUGAAGGGAUUUAACUCAUAGCACUCAGGAAAUCUUCCCCAUCCUACCUUUAACACUUUAAUUCAUAAGGCAUCAGAAUCUAUCCUCCAGCCUCACCUCAAUUUCCUUAAAUUUUUUAAAUGUAAUUUGAAAAAUGAGAGGUCUUAUAUCAAUACAAUUUUAUUACAGGAAAAAUUACUAGGGGACCUAGCUGAGCCUAAAGAAAAUAAAUCCAUGGGGUAAAAGAAACA